rnacentral:rRNA from 1 species
AGCAGUAGCCGCGGGAAAACGGAGGGUGCAAGCGUUAAUCGGAAUUACUGGGCGUAAAGCGCACGCAGGCGGUCUGUCAAGUCAGAUGUGAAAUCCCCGGGCUUAACCUGGGAACUGCAUUUGAAACUGGCAGGCUAGAGUCUUGUAGAGGGGGGUAGAAUUCCAGGUGUAGCGGUGAAAUGCGUAGAGAUCUGGAGGAAUACCGGUGGCGAAGGCGGCCCCCUGGACAAAGACUGACGCUCAGGUGCGAAAGCGUGGGGAGCAAACAGGAUUAGAUACCCCUGUAGUCCCUGUCUCUUAUAC